UUGCCAGACUCCUACGGGAGGCAGCAGCGGGGAAUAUUGCACAAUGGGGGGAACCCUGAUGCAGCGACGCCGCGUGGGUGAAGGAGCACCUCGGUGCGUAAAGCCCUAUCGGCAGGGAAGAAAAGCGAACAGGUUCGCCUGGACGGUACCUGACUAAGAAGCCCCGGCUAACUACGUGCCAGCAGCCGCGGGAAUACGUAGGGGGCAAGCGUUAUCCGGAUUCACUGGGUGUAAAGGGAGCGUAGACGGCGGUGCAAGUCCGGAGUGAAAGCCCGGGGCUCAACCCUGGGACUGCUCUGGAAACUGUAAAGCUGGAGUGCGGGAGGGGCAGGCGGAAUUCCUGGUGUAGCGGUGAAAUGCGUAGAUAUCAGGAGGAACACCGGCGGCGAAGGCGGCCUGCUGGACCGUAACUGACGUUGAGGCUCGAAAGCGUGGGGAGCAAACAGGAUUAGAUACCCUCGUAC
rnacentral:rRNA from 1 species